UACGAAGGGGCUAGCGUUGCUCGGAAUCACUGGGCGUAAAGGGUGCGUAGGCGGGUCUUUUAAGUCAGAGGUGAAAUCCUGGAGCUCAACUCCAGAACUGCCUUUGAUACUGAGGAUCUUGAGUUCGGGAGAGGUGAGUGGAACUGCGAGUGUAGAGGUGAAAUUCGUAGAUAUUCGCAAGAACACCAGUGGCGAAGGCGGCUCACUGGCCCGAUACUGACGCUGAGGCACGAAAGCGUGGGGA
rnacentral:rRNA from 1 species